AAGCUGCCCAAAUAGACGCUUAGCAUCUCACACGCAGGCUUUGUGUGAUGAAGUUGUGGCUCUGCAAGGACUGGAGAAGCCCCAUCUGAAGACUUGGAAUAAACAAGUGGUGUAAUUAUGGGCAGCACUAUGACAUCAAGGUUCGGAUGGAAGCAGCUCACCAGGGAUGUACCAGGACAGAACAGGGAAAGUGGCUGGCGUUCUCGGAAAGACAGACAUCGCUUUAACAGUAGAAGGGAUAGAGUAGAAGAAUCCUCCAAAUGGAAAAGAGCCGUGGCAGGGCCCUAGAUGGCACAGUGGCACACACCUGUAACCCCAGCACUCCGGGAGGCAGAGGAAGGUGAAUCUCUGUGAGUUUAAGGCCAGCCUGGUCUACAAGGCAAGUCUGGGACAGCCAAGGAUACACAGAGAAACUCUGUCUUG